AUUGAACGCUGGCGGCAUGCCUUACACAUGCAAGUCGAACGGCAGCGCGGGGCAACCUGGCGGCGAGUGGCGAACGGGUGAGUAAUAUAUCGGAACAUACCCUAGAGUGGGGGAUAACGUAGCGAAAGUUACGCUAAUACCGCAUACGCACUAAGGUGGAAAGUGGGGGAUUCGCAAGAACCUCAUGCUCAUGGAGUGGCCGAUAUCUGAUUAGCUAGUUGGUGAGGUAAAGGCUCACCAAGGCGACGAUCAGUAGCUGGUUUGAGAGAACGACCAGCCACACUGGAACUGAGACACGGUCCAGACUCCUACGGAGGCAGCAGUGGGGAAUUUUGGGACAAUGGGGGCAACCCUGAUCCAGCAAUGCCGCGUGAGUGAAGAAGGCCU
rnacentral:rRNA from 1 species